AUCUUGGAUGUGAGAAUUGGAGAAAACUAAAGCAUUUGUGGAGACCAUAUGGUUUAAUUUUCUCCAAUAUCUUAUUUCCAAAUG
rfam:Populus trichocarpa scaffold_18_contig_269, whole genome shotgun sequence.